AACGAACGCUGGCGGCAUGCCUAACACAUGCAAGUCGAACGAGACCUUCGGGUCUAGUGGCGCACGGGUGCGUAAAGCGUGGGAACCUGCCCUUAGGUUCGGAAUAACUCCCUGAAAGGGGUGCUAAUACCGGAUACUGUCUUCGGACCAAAGAUUUAUCGCCUUUGGAUGGGCCCGCGUUGGAUUAGCUAGUUGGUAGGGUAAAAGCCUACCAAGGCGACGAUCCAUAGCUGGUCUGAGAGGAUGAUCAGCCACACUGGGACUGAGACACGGCCCAGACUCCUACGGGAGGCAGCAGUGGGGAAUAUUGGACAAUGGGCGAAAGCCUGAUCCAGCAAUGCCGCGUGAGUGAUGAAGGCCUUAGGGUUGUAAAGCUCUUUUACCCGGGAUGAUAAUGACAGUACCGGGAGAAUAAGCUCCGGCUAACUCCGUG
rnacentral:rRNA from 1 species